CAAUGGCUUGAUCAUAAUGCUGCGGCGGGGUCAGAGAGCCGGCAAACCGUUUCUGGUUCUAGUAGAAAGGGAUUUACUGAUUCGGGUUGAGGAUGACGAGCAAAAGAGUGGAGGAAAAGCUGUUAUAUAGUUAGUCUAUUUCUAUCUUCCUAUCUUUGUCAUGUCAGUCUUAUUCCUAUCUUGGUAUCUUUGUCAUGAGGUAUGCAGCACACUCAACCAAAAUAUAUAGAAUUGGAUCAUCAACGGGUGUGCUAAAGAAACGCCUCUACGUAAACGGAUGAACGGGAUCAUCAUAUAGUGAGCUUCGUUUGGGAUACUUAAACCCACAAAAAUUAGCUCUUUAGCUGAUAUACGACCACCAACUAUCUGGCUAUCGAGAAGAUCUAAUAUGCAGGGAAGUAAUUCAAUAGAAUAACGCAAGGUUCGAUAAAUCAAUUGAUGCAAAAGCAGGGAAUUAGACCACUCCAUCCUUUAUUUCACCUAGGAGCCAUCUUAGCAGCAGGGCUUUCGACUCUCGAAUGUCAAAGAAGGUCCUUUUCUAUCAUCUGAGCUUUCUCACCUGUGCCCUCAGCCCUCAAGACUUCGCCAGACCUUGAUUUUCGAUUGAAGAUAAUCGUUGCUUCGCUAUCCCGAUACCAAAAUGGGAAGAUCUCCCUUCUGGGUUGGUAGAUGAAUUGUUCUGGGUAACAGGCGGUGGACAUCUUCGUUGACAGAUCUGAGUUAUCGACUUGGUCAUAUGCCCUAAAGUUACCCUAAGCCCUCGGGGCUCCAUCCGAACCUGUGACUCAACCUUCUCUUUAGCGGAGGAGAAUAGUUCCGAGUGAGUGUGCUCCCGAACCAACGAUUUGUAUACUCUUUGCCCCAGGUACCAAUACCCAUGUCUUCCUGCUUCUUUUGAUUCUCUUACUCUUCAAAAAUAAAAGCAAAGCACACCGCUAAACAAAAAGCUGGUAUUACCAACCUUCUCAGAGGUUAGGCGAUUCAUUGAGUCGAUCAGUCAUCUUUUUCCCAAGACAACUUUAUUGUGUGUAGGCGCACAAAGGAAGAUCGUAGAAUCAGGAUUACUCGUCCACUUUCAUCGCCUUUUGUUGAUCCGUGUCAUCCUUGCUGCUUCAUCCAAUUAUUCUUUAUUCCUCCUCUCACUUGGGCGAAACACUAGAAACGGCCAUUAAUUUACGGAUCGGUCAUACAAGGAGCAUACCUACUAAUACUUCGGCGUGUGCUGCAUUCGAGUGGUUAACAGCAUACAUCUAUUCCCAAAUCCCAACGGAGAUAGAUAGUAUCCUUCUGUGCUAUCCCCUAUAUCCUCGUAGUAGGGUUGAGGGCAGCGAAGUCUCCCGUUUAUCCUGUCUCCUUCUCUUGGUUAGUGCGUACUACUUCCCAACGUAUCUUAUAUAGAGACAUUGGAGGAGCCUGAUCUUCCAUCUACGCAAAAGAGAUGCUUGAGUUCUUCCAUCCGCGAAGGCGGUGUGCUCAAAUAAGUUAGUUUGUUACGAGACUAUCAGGUCCACCAGGAUAAUUCGAGGUGGAUAGCCCUGACUGACAGGGGACUAAGAUUAGGAAGCAUCCACAAGAGCGAAAGAGCC
rnacentral:sRNA from 1 species